GCUUCCAUCGUUCAAUGGAUAGGAUAUUUCCUUGCGGAGGAAAUGAUGUAGGUUCGAUUCCUACUGGAAGCA
rnacentral:tRNA from 1 species